rnacentral:rRNA from 1 species
AUUGAACGCUGGCGGCAUGCCUAACACAUGCAAGUCGAACGAGUGGCGGACGGGUGAGUAAUUUCUUGGAAACUGCCUGAUGGAGGGGGCUAACUACUGGAAACGUUAGCUAAUACCGCAUACCAUCAGAUGUGCCCAGAUGGGAUUAGCUAGUGGGUGGGGUAACGGCUAACCAAGGCGACGAUCCCUAGCUGGUCUGAGAGGAUGACCAGCCACACUGGAACUGAGACACGGUCAAGACUCCUACGGGAGGCAGCAGUGGGGAAUAUGGCACAAUGGGCGAAAGCCUGAUGCAGCAAUGCCGCGUGAAUGAAGAAGGCCUUCGGGUUGUAAAGUACUUUCAGCGGGGAGGCGUUACCCGCAGAAGAAGCAACGGCUAACUCCGUGCCAGCAGCCGCGGUAAUAC